rnacentral:rRNA from 1 species
GACGAACGCUGGCGGCGUGCCUAACACAUGCAAGUCGAACGGAAAACAUAGCAAUAUGUUUUUAGUGGCGAACGGGUGAGUAACGCGUAGACAACCAACCUUUUUGUGGGGGACAACACUUCGAAAGGAGUGCUAAUACCGCAUGCGCUCCAGAUGCCGCCUGGCAUUUGGAGGAAAGGAGCUUUACGGCUUCGCAGAAAGACGGGUCUGCGUCUGAUUAGCUAGUUGGAGGGGUAACGGCCCACCAAGGCAACGAUCAGGAGACGGUCUGAGGGGAUGAACGGCCACACUGGAACUGAGACACGGCCCAGACUCCUAGGGGAGGCAGCAGUGGGGAAUCUUCCGCAAUGGGCGAAAGUCUGACGGAGCGACGCCGCGUGAGUGAUGAAGGCCCUUGGGUCGUAAAGCUCUGUCAUCAGGGACGAACGGUCACGUCAGGAAAUGGGCGUGAAUUGACGGUACCUGAGAAGGAAGCCACGGCUAACUACGUGCCAGCCGCCGCGGUAA